rnacentral:lncRNA from 1 species
GCAAGCACCAAUCCAGGCUGGCAUUGGGUAGAAUCACCAUGACCACCUGACCCCUUUCCUCCUCUCCAGCAGAAUUUACACUGCAGGCAGGCAGGUGAACCAGGCAGCCUCUGAACUUCCAUUACAAAAUCAGCAAGUGCAUUUCUCUGCACAAGGCUCUAACCAUCCCCCCAAAGUUACCAAACAGAACAUUUAGAACUGAAAGCAUCCUCGGAAG